AAAUUGAAGAGUUUGAUCAUGGCUCAGAUUGAACGCUGGCGGCAGGCCUAACACAUGCAAGUCGAGCGGUAGCACAGAGAGCUUGCUCUCGGGUGACGAGCGGCGGACGGGUGAGUAAUGUCUGGGAAACUGCCUGAUGGAGGGGGAUAACUACUGGAAACGGUAGCUAAUACCGCAUAACGUCGCAAGACCAAAGUGGGGGACCUUCGGGCCUCAUGCCAUCAGAUGUGCCCAGAUGGGAUUAGCUAGUAGGUGGGGUAACGGCUCACCUAGGCGACGAUCCCUAGCUGGUCUGAGAGGAUGACCAGCCACACUGGAACUGAGACACGGUCCAGACUCCUACGGGAGGCAGCAGUGGGGAAUAUUGCACAAUGGGCGCAAGCCUGAUGCAGCCAUGCCGCGUGUGUGAAGAAGGCCUUCGGGUUGUAAAGCACUUUCAGCGGGGAGGAAGGCGAUACGGUUAAUAACCUUGUCGAUUGACGUUACCCGCAGAAGAAGCACCGGCUAACUCCGUGCCAGCAGCCGCGGUAAUACGGAGGGUGCAAGCGUUAAUCGGAAUUACUGGGCGUAAAGCGCACGCAGGCGGUCUGUCAAGUCGGAUGUGAAAUCCCCGGGCUCAACCUGGGAACUGCAUUCGAAACUGGCAGGCUAGAGUCUUGUAGAGGGGGGUAGAAUUCCAGGUGUAGCGGUGAAAUGCGUAGAGAUCUGGAGGAAUACCGGUGGCGAAGGCGGCCCCCUGGACAAAGACUGACGCUCAGGUGCGAAAGCGUGGGGAGCAAACAGGAUUAGAUACCCUGGUAGUCCACGCCGUAAACGAUGUCGAUUUGGAGGUUGUGCCCUUGAGGCGUGGCUUCCGGAGCUAACGCGUUAAAUCGACCGCCUGGGGAGUACGGCCGCAAGGUUAAAACUCAAAUGAAUUGACGGGGGCCCGCACAAGCGGUGGAGCAUGUGGUUUAAUUCGAUGCAACGCGAAGAACCUUACCUGGUCUUGACAUCCACAGAACUUAGCAGAGAUGCUUUGGUGCCUUCGGGAACUGUGAGACAGGUGCUGCAUGGCUGUCGUCAGCUCGUGUUGUGAAAUGUUGGGUUAAGUCCCGCAACGAGCGCAACCCUUAUCCUUUGUUGCCAGCGGUUAGGCCGGGAACUCAAAGGAGACUGCCAGUGAUAAACUGGAGGAAGGUGGGGAUGACGUCAAGUCAUCAUGGCCCUUACGACCAGGGCUACACACGUGCUACAAUGGCAUAUACAAAGAGAAGCGACCUCGCGAGAGCAAGCGGACCUCAUAAAGUAUGUCGUAGUCCGGAUUGGAGUCUGCAACUCGACUCCAUGAAGUCGGAAUCGCUAGUAAUCGUAGAUCAGAAUGCUACGGUGAAUACGUUCCCGGGCCUUGUACACACCGCCCGUCACACCAUGGGAGUGGGUUGCAAAAGAAGUAGGUAGCUUAACCUUCGGGAGGGCGCUUACCACUUUGUGAUUCAUGACUGGGGUGAAGUCGUAACAAGGUAACCGUAGGGGAACCUGCGGUUGGAUCACCUCCUUACCUUAAAGAA
rnacentral:rRNA from 1 species